UACAGAGGUCCCAAGCGUUGUUCGGAUUCACUGGGCGUAAAGGGUGCGUAGGUGGUUUGGUAAGUCUGGUGUGAAAUCUCCGAGCUCAACUCGGAAAUGGCAUUGGAUACUAUCAGACUUGAGGGUCGGAGGGGAGACUGGAAUUCUCGGUGUAGCAGUGAAAUGCGUAGAUAUCGAGAGGAACACCAGUGGCGAAGGCGAGUCUCUGGACGACUCCUGACACUGAGGCACGAAAGCUAGGGGAGCAAACAGG
rnacentral:rRNA from 1 species